rnacentral:rRNA from 1 species
GCAUUAUACCGUGAAACUGCGAAUGGCUCAUUAAAUCAGUUAUCGUUUAUUUGAUUAUACCUUACUACUUGGAUAACCGUGGUAAUUCUAGAGCUAAUACAUGCUGAAAAUCCCGACUUCGGAAGGGAUGUGUUUAUUAGAUAAAAAACCAAUGCCCUUCGGGGCUUUUUGGUGAUUCAUGAUAACUUUACGGAUCGCAUAGCCUUGCGCUGGCGACGGUUCAUUCAAAUUUCUGCCCUAUCAACUUUCGAUGGUAAGGUAUUGGCUUACCAUGGUUUCAACGGGUAACGGGGAAUAAGGGUUCGAUUCCGGAGAGGGAGCCUGAGAMACRGCUACCACAUCCAAGGAAGGCAGCAGGCGCGCAAAUUACCCAAUCCCGACACGGGGAGGUAGUGACAAUAAAUACUGAUACAGGGCUCUUUUGGGUCUUGUAAUUGGAAUGAGUACAAUUUAAACCUCUUAACGAGGAACAAUUGGAGGGCAAGUCUGGUGCCAGCAGCCGCGGUAAUUCCAGCUCCAAUAGCGUAUAUUAAAGUUGUUGCAGUUAAAAAGCUCGUAGUUGAAACUUGGGUCUGGCUGGCGGGUCCGCCUCACCGCGUGCACUCGUCCGGCCGGGCCUUCCUUCUGAAGAACCUCAUGCCCUUCACUGGGCGUGUUGGGGAAUCAGGACUUUUACUUUGAAAAAAUUAGAGUGUUCAAAGCAGGCCUUUGCUCGAAUACGUUAGCAUGGAAUAAUAAAAUAGGACGUGCGUUCCUAUUUUGUUGGUUUCUAGGAACGCCGUAAUGAUUAACAGGAACAGUCGGGGGCGUCAGUAUUCAGUUGUCAGAGGUGAAAUUCUUGGAUUUACUGAAGACUAACUACUGCGAAGGCAUUCGCCAAGGAUGUUUUCAUUAAUCAGUGAACGAAAGUUAGGGGAUCGAAGACGAUCAGAUACCGUCGUAGUCUUAACCGUAAACUAUGCCGACUAGGGAUCGGGCGAUGUUCUUUUUCUGACUCGCUCGGCACCUUACGAGAAAUCAAAGUUUUUGG